AUAACCAAUUAAAAAAUGAUGUUAUAUUUGACACGAAUGCAUUGACUGUAUUUACACGUAUCGCUUGUCAAAUAUAUUAAAAACAUGUUUAAGAUAUAUUGAAAAAGUAUGUUAAUGUUAAAUACAUUGUACUUCUCAACAUCAAAUUAGAUACAUGUUUAGUUCUAACAAGCUAAAGCUAUCACGUUGUUUCAUUUUUAAAGGCACAUUAUGACUUAGAAACUAAUGAAUAUUUCCUUCUCUUGAAAGGGCACUCAUAAGUUUAAUGGCUUUGAAAUAAUGAUUUUAAAGCAUGUUAGAUAAUUAUCACAUAAGGAAAGUAAAGCUGAAUGUGAAAUUAUUUGUGAUAUAAGUAGAAAUGUAAACUAAGUUGUAUUUUAACCUCCAUAAAAAAUACGUAUUUACAAUAAAUGUACUAAUUGUGAAACUGCAAAGGAAACAAAGAAUGGUCAGGUAUAUAUGGUCAAUGACUAACUCUUUGGAGACUAAAGUUUAACACCAAAAGUUAAAAGCUAAUUAUAAAUGAUGACAAAAGUAUUUCUAAAGCAUAAUGGGCUUUUAAGUAAGAACUGUCUGAAAUUGAUUGCAAUCUUGCAAACUUCUCGGUCCUUUCCGGCAAAUUUAUUAUUCGUCGGUUUAUUCGGAAUGGAUUGAUUGAAUAUCAAGUCUAAUUUAGAAUCUGGUGGUUUCCAUUUAAACACGGACACAAUUUUGAUGUCUUGAUCAUUUCACUACUCACUUAGGCGUGAAAACUAGCACAAAGUGCAUACAAAACUAAAGUGCAGAUUAACUGAUAAGUGAGUUUAAGGUAAUGAAAUGACGAACUAUUAAUAAAUGUAUUCUGGUUAUUUCUUAAUCAUUACAGGGUCUAGUUGCAACUUUUGUUCAAGUAUAAAACUUGUAUUCGUCUAUAUAUACAAAAUUAUAGAUUAUUAUCAAACAGCAAUAUGAACACACCUUUCAUUUAAAGUCAUUUACAAUAUAUGUGUUGACAAAUUAAAUUAUUAAUUAUUUUUUGAAACAUUUACUUCCGCUUUAGACAAAAUCAGUGUUUAAAAACAUAUAUGUAAUAAAAUCGUAUAUUAAUUUUAAUUUACUAGGUUUUCACAAAUGAGGAAGUUAAGAAUUAAUUUAAAGUCAAAGUUUGUACUAUGUUGCUAUACUAAAAACAGGUGCAUUACAAAAGGUCGUGAUAAUGCCCGAAAAUCUUUUAUGACUUCAGAACCCUUUUAUUGACCGCAUAUUAUUAAGUGGACAGCAUAGAAAUUUUCUGUAUUGAAACUUGCUUUUAUUAUCAAAUACAUUGUUGUAGAAUUUCAACAUACCCUCGUUUUCAAGCAAUCAAUCUGAUUUCAUGUUCGCUUAUCUUCAACACUAUAGCCCCGACUACAGUUUGUUUGUCAAAAGUAAAUACCAUUUCGGCAAACAAGCACUUUUCAGUGGGCCUGAGUGUUUAAGGACAGGAAUACAUAUCUCGUAUAUAUAACUAAAUAAAACAGUAAGUUAAGGUCAGAUAAGGGCAAUAUAUUGUGUAUGCUUCUUGAAUCUAAUAUCAGUUUAUAAGUGCAUUUUAAGGAAGAAUAUCUCAGUUACAGGAUACAGUGAUAUUUUCUAUUACAGACGUGUAUAACCAAACCAGAGAUAUCCAUACGUUAUGAGGUAAACAUGUGAAAUCGUACAGCUCUUGAAAGCCAAUUUUUGUUCGAUUAUCUCUUCUUAAAUUAAAGACAAUGUCGUGGCUAAUGUUUUGGAAAACUUCUUCGAAAAAGAACGAUAAAAAGUCAAGGUCGGAAUUGAUCCGAUCAGAAUCAUUCAAGGACGAAGGGACGCUUGGUGAAACUGAAAAGGAAAAGAACGCGCGAUUACGUCAUACGAUGUCGAUAUCGCGUUCCGGGAGAUUCAAACAGAAAAAUAAACAAAGAGCAGCCAUAUUGGAUAAACCAGAAUUUUUUUCUGGGUCUACAGACUCGCAAAAAGAGAAUUGUGAAAAUAGUCAACUUACAAACGGUAACAAUAUGAAAACCCCGCCCAGCACGUGCCGCGAAGUGUCGCGAGGACAGACGAUAAAUACGCGACAGGGUCAACAAACCGUGCUAUGAUACUUCCGUUAACAUGUACAAAGUUAAAGUGUUCUGUGUGAUUUUGACAUGAUGCCAUUUUAUUUGGAUUACCAAAUAUAUAUAAAAUGUUCAAUUUUCAUAAGAUGAUUCUUAAUUUAGCUGAAAUUACUGCUCCUUUUCACCGAAUCGUCAUCUUUUCAACACAUAAUUUAUAAUAAAAGAAACAAAUAUAACUAAUUACAAAUAAACUCGAUCGGAAUUCUGUAUGAAAAAUCUACUUUUAAAAGGUACUGGUUUCUAAACACACAUUUUAAUAUUGAAUUAUUUAAACGGAUAUUUGCUGCGCUUAAAAUCUGGAUGUACAAAGUGAAGGAAUGAUAAGUAAAAUUUACAACGAAUUGCGAGACUUAUUAGUUUCAUGGAAUUAUAAUGUUACAAGUGCUUUGAAUAUAGAAAAUGUUUUCAAUUGUGAAGCUCACAGAAAAUUUCAAUAUAAUCCAAUGUCUUUCUUAUACCAUGUAGCUCACGUGUUUUCUUUAGUAAGAAAAUAUAUGUACAUGUAUAUAUUUUUACAUAUUCCAUUGCUUUCAAUAGCAGGACAUUGUAUGAAAACUUGACCAUAAUAAAUCUGCAAAUGAUUGCUCGUUGAUGAACAAAUGUGAUAGAUUUGACAAGGUUGUGAAACGCAUCUUCGGCAUCUUUUCAUUGAAGUAUAUAUGUGUGAAUAUUGUACGACGUGAAUUUAGUUGCAUACAUGUGUGCAUGUGUUUGAGUUUAUAUUGUUGUUUAGGGGAACUUUCAACAUGUACAUUCUCUGCAGGUGUGAUUUUUAAAAAGUUAUUGACUAUUUAUAUGCCAAAACUGGUUAUAUAUAAAAUAACUUUAUGUGAUUUGAUGUUGUCAAUGGAACCGGGAGUGUUCUUUUUUCUACAUUUGUAUAUUUAUGCACAGUGCGCGGCAAAAAACUUUCCUCCUCCAGAGCGGAUGUCGACACAUGCUGGUGUCUUGUGAUUUUAUAAAUAGACUAUCAAAGCGGAAGUGAUCAGUUAAAUACGGUAAACAAAUUCGUAUUGUCAUGGUUAACUUUGUUUUUGUUGAAGUACUAUAUGUAUAUAAAUAAGUGGAUGUGUAACUGUUAUUGAAAGGACAUUAUAUGAAACGUUUACAUUUCGUUUGAAUUUCAUAUAUUACAUAUGGAGUCAGUUCUUGUAAGAAAUGUGCUGGAUUUAUGUAAGGUUUUUGACUGCUAUUAAAAGUAUAUGUUUUAUUGUUUAAAAAAUCUUUGUUUUUGAAAUAACUGUCUCAUUAAGCAUAGAUAAAAUGUAACAAUUUUG